UUACGGCCACAUCAAUUUGAAACAUCUGUUCUCGUAUGAUCACCGAAGUUAAACAACGUCGAGCCUGGUCAGUAUCUAGAUGGGUGAUCGCUUGGGAAUACGAGGUACUGUAAG